UACUACUGUCCAUCUACACUGCAUUUUGUACAACAAUGUACAUUGUACUUGUCCAAAGCAGCUUACAAACCAAGAGUUUCUAGGGAACAACAACACAAAAUAUCAGUUUGGGAGGAAAAUCAGUAGAUAAAUACGUAAAUAUCCAUAAAUGAUCUACAUUGAUUCAGAACCAAAAGCAGUUUGGUUAGAUUCUGCUCUCGUGUGUGAGCCUGAAAUAGCAAUUGUUCUUUAGAUGAAUGAUGAUUUUUGUCGCCAAAUGAUAGAAACAGGUGAGCUUAACAGGUGUAAGAUUUAGCCAGUGCCUAAAUCUUUAGCCAGAGUGGGCCUCUACCAUCGUGGAACCUUAGCCCCCAUUCCACUGGAACAGAGGAACCCCUCUGUCCAGAUUGGGAGCCCUGUCCCUAUGCCAUCAGCUGCAAACAAGGGAAUGCUUCUGGUCCCCCAGCAGGUAGAACCCCAAACCCCCCUGGGACCUACUUGUACAGAAGUGGUUGCAAACAGAAAUCAACAAAAGUCAGGCCUCUUUGCAGAGGAUAUAAUUUUAUGCACCUCUGACCCUAUCACAGCAGGAAAAAUACUAUGUACAGAGUUGGAACAGUUCUCCAGGGUCUCAGGAUUGCAAGAAACUUUUAAGAAAGCAGAGGUAAUGCUUUUUCAUACACCACCCCAUUCAUAUACAACAGACGUUUACGGCAAUGUUGAAGACUCCAAUAGCUAGGAAAAGUUUUAGGUAUCUGGGGGUGCAAAUUCCCCAAAAUUUGAACAAACAAGUUGCAUCAGUUUAAUUACACUACAUAAGAGAAAACUAAAAUGUUAUCUUAAAGAUUUCAAAACAAAACAUCACAAAGGAGGUCAACUACAGAACACGUAUUUAAUAUAGUAAAGCUAGUGAGUCUGGACCCAGCCCCCUAGGCGAGGUGGAAAGGGCCUUGCGGGGAGCGGCCUUCACGCCCCACAGCCGGGCGAUGUUCCUCUGGCCUCAUGAGGAGCCUCUUCGGUGGGGCUGAUGAUGCAUUUUCUAUGCCUAGCUAUGAAUAAACCAGAUCAAUGCCAGUAACAUGCUUUAUUGGUCCUCCCAUGAAAUGAAUUUGUAGAGAGACAGGCCACGAGAUGGAGUCGACAUGCAGAUGAGAUUGCUGUGGAAAUUAAUCUGAAGCAGUGGCGGACUUUGAACUCUCAAAUUUGAGUGGCACCCUGUGCAAUGCUAAAAUUCAGCGACCCUCACCCCCACCUCUUGCACUCUGUUGUACAUCAUUGCUGCAGCGUCUCCUGUGGUGCUGGUGCAAAUAUGUAAGACCAAACCAGUUGCUCUACCCUGAAACCACCUCUGUCUGAAGGUAGGGUAGUCCUCUUAGCACUUCUUUGGUCUGUUCAGGUCAGAGCCCAAUCUGUAGCUUCCUGAACUCCUCUUACAAGCUCAAAGCAAGUUGGGUAAGUAGGUGGGACAGACCCUGAGAUAGCAUAAUACUUAGUUAGAUAAAGACUUCUAAAGUCGAGCCUAUAUUAAAGGGAUUGUAAUAAAGCAAGUAAGAGAUAUAGGUGGUAACAGUAAAAACAAAACAAAAAAGCAGUGGAUAUAAAGUAGUCCUUACACUUGAUUUGGUCCUAAGCUUAGCUUCAGUAAGUUUUAUACAACAAUGUGCCAAUAGUGUGGGUUCCAUCAUGGAAGGGAACAAGGAAGUUUCUCUAAGAAACAUGGACAGUUUGAAGAAUCUUAGAGAUGGAACCCACACCAUUGGCACAUUGUUUAUGUUGUUUUCCAGGCUGGGGACGAUGAGUCAACCACAGUCAGAUGAAGCUCUGGGAUUCUUAGGUUCCACAUGUGCACAUGGAUGGCAAUAUUUAGCACACAUGUUUGUUUGUUUGUUUAUUACAUUUGUAUAUCAUCAUAUACCUGUAGAUCUCAGGGUUCACAUCAUCAUCACCACCAUCAUUUAUUUAUAUGCCACUCAUCUGACUUGGUUACCCCAGCCACUUGGGGCGGCUACCAACAUAUUAAAGCACAGUAAGACAUCAAACAUUAAAAACUUCCCUAUACAGGGCUGCCUUUAGAUGUCU